GUAAAAAGUGUUUCAAUUUAACAGACAAUUGGAUGUAACGGACAACUAUCCCAACAGGUCCCACUGUACGAGAGAAUCAGAUUUCAAGUUUGAUGCAUUAUGUUCCAUCCCUUUUCCAGUCAGGCAAGACCGGGUUACCUGGUGAGCCACCAGCCAUCAUCAGACAUUCUCAGAACCUCCACCACAGAACCAAUGGGCACAGAGAUCUCGUCAGCCUUCUUGAUAGGGAGCAGGAAACCAGGCAAUACACUUGUCUUCAUUCUCCACCAACCACCAACCUGAUAGGGAGAGUAAACACGUAAUCAGGCAGGCAGCCACACAGCGGUACGUCUCGGUGACAAAUGGCCGAGUGACAGAGAAAUCUCCUUCGCCCCCAACUCCUCCUCCUAUUCCUCCUUCUAACCCCAAGCUGAUAUCCGACAGCAAGAUCAUGGCGCUGAGCGAC